rnacentral:rRNA from 1 species
GCGCAGCUGCGCGUGCUUACACAUGCAAGUCGAACGCUGAAGCUUGGUGCUUGCACUGGGUGGAUGAGUGGCGAACGGGUGAGUAAUACGUGAGUAACCUGCCCUUGACUCUGGGAUAAGCCUGGGAAACUGGGUCUAAUACUGGAUACGACAUGUCACCGCAUGGUGGUGUGUGGAAAGGGUUCUACUGGUUUUGGAUGGGCUCACGGCCUAUCAGCUUGUUGGUGGGGUAAUGGCUCACCAAGGCGACGACGGGUAGCCGGCCUGAGAGGGUGACCGGCCACACUGGGACUGAGACACGGCCCAGACUCCUACGGGAGGCAGCAGUGGGGAAUAUUGCACAAUGGGCGAAAGCCUGAUGCAGCGACGCCGCGUGAGGGAUGACGGCCUUCGGGUUGUAAACCUCUUUCAGCACGGAAGAAGCGAAAGUGACGGUACGUGCAGAAGAAGCGCCGGCUAACUACGAUGACCCAGUCAGCUGUACGUCUGCGCUAAUACGUAGCAGAGCGCAACCGUAGUCCAGAAUGUGUUGGGCGUAAC